rnacentral:rRNA from 1 species
UAUGUUGUAUAGUUAUAAAGUCUAGCCUGCCCACUGAUUUAUUAAAGGGCCGCGGUAAUUUGACCGUGCGAAGGUAGCAUAGUCAGUAGUCUUUUAAUUGAAGGCUUGAAUGAAUGGUUGGACGAGGGAUAAGCUGUCUCUUUUAUAUAAUUUUGAAUUUAACUUUUAAGUGAAAAGGCUUAAAUUAUUUAAGGGGACGAUAAGACCCUAUAAAACUUAAUAUAAGUUUAGCUUGAUUUGUGAUUUAAGUGAAAAGCGAUUUUGUUUGGUUUAUAUUUCGUUGGGGAGAUGAAGAUAUAAAAUGUAACUGUCUAUUAAAUUUAAUAGUGUUAAUUAGUUUUUGAUCCUUCUGUGUGGAUUAAGAGAAUAAGUUACUUUAGGGAUAACAGCGUGAUUUUCUUUGAGAGUUCUUAUCGACAAGAGUAGUUGCGACCUCGAUGUUGAAUUAAAGUUUCAGCUAGGUGUAGCCGUUUAGCUAGUGGGUCUGUUCGACCUUUAAAACUUUACAUGAUUUGAGUUCAAACCGGU